GAUGAACGCUGGCGGCGUGCCUAAUACAUGCAAGUCGAGCGAACAGACGAGGAGCUUGCUCCUCUGACGUUAGCGGCGGACGGGUGAGUAACACGUGGAUAACCUACCUAUAAGACUGGGAUAACUUCGGGAAACCGGAGCUAAUACCGGAUAAUAUAUUGAACCGCAUGGUUCAAUAGUGAAAGACGGUUUUGCUGUCACUUAUAGAUGGAUCCGCGCCGCAUUAGCUAGUUGGUAAGGUAACGGCUUACCAAGGCAACGAUGCGUAGCCGACCUGAGAGGGUGAUAGGCGACACGGGAACUGAGACACGGUCAAGACUCCUAAGGGAGGCAGCAGUAGGGAAUCUGCCGCAAUGGGCGAAAGCCUGACGGAGCAACGCCGCGUGAGUGAUGAAGGUCUUCGGAUCGUAAAACUCUGUUAUUAGGGAAGAACAAAUGUGUAAGUAACUAUGCACGUCUUGACGGUACCUAAUAAGAAAGCCACGGCUAACUACGUG
rnacentral:rRNA from 1 species